GUCUUUUUGGUAUUUAAUAUAAAGUCUGACCUGCCCACUGAAUAUAGUUUGAAGGGCCGCAGUAUUUUGACUGUGCAAAGGUAGCAUAAUCAUUAGUCUUUUAAUUGAAGGCUGGUAUGAAUGGUUGGAUGAGAUACAAGCUGUGUCAUAAAAAUUAAUAUUUGAAUUUACCUUUUUAGUCAAAAGGCUAAAAUAAUCUUAAAAGACGAGAAGACCCCAUAGAGCUUUAUAUAAUUAAUAUUUAAGUUAUUAAGAUUUUUAAAAUUUAAUUAUUAAAUUGUAUUUUGUUGGGGUGACAAUAAAAUUUAUAAAACUUUUAUUUUUAUUUAACAUUAAUUUAUGGCUAAAUGAUCCAGUUUUAUUGAUUAUAAAUUUAAGUUACCUUGGGGAUAACAGCGUAAUUUUUUUUGAGAGUUCUUAUCGACAAAAAAGAUUGCGACCUCGAUGUUGGAUUAAGAGUAAUUUUGGGUGUAGAAGUUCAAAGUUUAAGUCUGUUCGACUUUUAAAUUCUUACAU
rnacentral:rRNA from 1 species